rnacentral:lncRNA from 1 species
CGGUCUUCACCGGAUGUUGCCAAGAAACAUUGAAGCGCCUGUGAAGUACAGAAUCGAGCCCAGCAAAAUGUGUUCAUACCACUCUGUUUGCAAGGUGUUGGUGCAAACGUCCGUGUGAAAAUAGUUGUCUGCAAUCUACUUAUAUUCUCCGUUGAUAUCGAGAGAAGCCCCGGUCUAGGUUUUCUUGCUGUGCCUUACCAAAUUGUGGACCAUGAUGGAGCGAAGAAGAGCCUUAACUAUUCCAUUUAAUGUUGACAAGAAUAACUUGAUGGAUAACCCACUCAAAAUCUCCGUUCCAUGUCUUUCAUCAAAGUAUGGGAAAUUAGAAAGACAGGUUUCCUGGACUACAUUUGCAGAUUGCAAACGCAGACAUCGUGAUUCACAGCAUAAAAAUGGUUCCAUGCUGUUUGAUCACAAGCAUGCAACAUUGGAAAUGGCCAGUGGCCCCCUGUCAACACCCAGAGGCAGCUUCUUCUUCUCCCAGAAAACUUCUGCUCUAACUCUGUUCUUUUAAAUCAGGGCUUAAAACUUUUCUGUUUGUCACUACAUUUUAUUGUUUUAUUUAUUUAUACAUUUGUUUUAAUCAUAUGUUGUAUUGCAACUUUUAUUCCAAUGUUUGAUAUGCCUACUUUUGUUUAGCUUAUUAUUAUUUUAUUAUUAUUAUUGGCAAGUUAACAGUGAAGAUGCAGUCUGGAAAUGUGAGGGAACGAGAGGGGUAUGACAGACAUGCAAAGGUCCAUUGCGGUAAUGUGGUAUUUUAACCAUUUGGCUACAGAGUCUUUUCCUUCUGUCUUUCUGUCUUAUGUAAAGCACUUUGAAUUGCCUUGGCUUGUUGUUGAUGAAAGGUGCUAUACAAAUGCCCUUUCCUGUGUAGUAGGCCUGGGCGAAAAAUCGAUUGAAUGAAUUAAUUCGAGUUUUUUGUCGCGGGCGAUUUAAAAAAUAAGUA